UUUCUACUGCUGCUCAGCCUUCUUCCAGCAAGCGAAAACCUCUGAGGGUACCAAAUUUCAUUGGAGGCACAUUUGUUGAUUCGCAAUCAUCUACAGCCAUUGAUGUGAUAAACCCUGCAACGCAAGAAGUUGUAUCACAAGUUCCUUUGACUACAAAUGAAGAGUUCAAAGCUGCAGUGUCUGCAGCAAAGCAGGCUUUUCCAUCUUGGCAUAACACACCAGUGACGACCCGCCAACGCAUUAUGUUCAAGCUCCAAGAGCUUAUUCGUAGAGACAUUGAUAAGCUUGCGAU
rnacentral:misc_RNA from 1 species